rnacentral:lncRNA from 1 species
UAGCACAAAAUAAUUCCCAAGUUCAAGAUUUAUUUCUGCCUUCUGGAGACAUGGUCUCUGUCACUGGAAAAGAAAAAGAGUCAGGGCCUUCCGUGCUUGUAGGAUUUGGAUGUAGAGGUGGUGGGAAUGUCUCUGGACUUGGGACAGCACCUCCGAUGUCUAUGAAUAGGACGGACUCACUGGUGUGUCCUCCACAUGUUCUUGAGGAAGUUAACAAGGCUAAACAAGGAACUCACUGUCCUGCCUGCUCAGAAGACUCAGCACAAGAGAACACACAGCAAGACUCAAAGUUUUGGAACUGCAAGAAAGCAGAAACCUGGCUCCUUCUGGCUCUCAGAUCUUAUGACUCAACAAAGAAUUUAAAAAGAAUAUUCUCCCUAUUGAAAGGUCUCAAUUUUCCCAUCUCUAUGGACAGGCGGUAAAAUGAGAUAGUUUACAUGAAAUGCUGUCUGGCCCUCAGCAGGAGCUCAGUAAGUAUUGGUCUUCUUCCCUCUUGCAGAUCCACUCCCCAGAGUCUGUCUUUCCAGAGUUUCUCUGCUCCAAUUCAUUUCAUAUCCUAUUGCCAGAUGACUUCUGCUAAAGCCAACCUCAUUCUCUCUCCUCCGUGCUCAAGCCUUGUGGCUUCCCACUGUCUGUCAGAGUGAAGUGCACACCAAAGGCCUAGGUUUUAGGCCCUUCCUGUGUGACUCUCCUCACCAGCACAAUCUCCUUUCUCUCUUCCCUCCUUCACACACUCAGUGCCAUAGCCAACUGGGCAGCUGGCUCACCCUUCUCCAUGCCCUGCUUCAUGCCCUGCUUGUCCGCAGCCUUUGCUGACGCUGGAGAGAAGGCACUUCCUCUCCAGCCUUGCAACCUUCUAGCUCAGCAUGACCCUUAGCCCUCAGAAAGAUACACUUAUCUUCUAAUGACAUGGAAAUGAUCAACUGAGCUUGAUUUGUAGCAAAUAAUAGAAUAAAUAAUAACGCACACAUAUAAUUGACCCAACUUUUGGAACUCUGCAGGGAUCAUUUAAUUUCUCAAAGUUAGAUAAUGUUUAUGUGAAGCAGAUGCUACUACUAAAUAUAUAAAUACACAUUUAUAAUAACUUAGUGUAUUUGUGGGUAUGUGAGUAUAGAUAGGGAGAGAGAUGCUCAGAGAAGAUGGAGAUAGAUAUAAGCUAGACAAUAGCUUUCUAUAUAAACAUUUACAUCUUUCUAUCUAGCAAAUUAGUUUGAGAAGGAAAAGUCAUUUGCAGAUACUCUCUAGUGAAGUAUUAAUUUCCAAAUGUUAUCGGCUGACCAACUAUAUCCUUUUAUGUAAGAAGCAUAUUGCAGACAUUAAAUACUCUAUUGUGAAGACUGAAAACGACCUAAACUAUUCCAACAAUUGGUAUAUGGUUAUAGAAAUUAUGGUAUACUCACAUUAUGAGCUAUUACACAGCCAUAAAAAUGAUGUUUUUGGAAGAGAAAGGACAGGAAGAUCUGAGACCCAGAGACUCAGGGAAGAGGAUCACGUGAAGAGCAAGGCAGAGAUGGGGUGAUGGUGCCACAAGCCAAGGAGUGCCUGAAGCCACAUAAGCUAGAGGCAGAGGC